AGAACGAACGCUGGCGGCAGGCCUAACACAUGCAAGUCGAACGCUCGUAGCAAUACGGGAGUGGCAGACGGGUGAGUAACGCGUGGGAACGUACCCUUCGGUUCGGAAUAACCCGGGGAAACUCGGGCUAAUACCGGAUACGUCCGCAAGGAGAAAGAUUUAUCGCCGAAGGAUCGGCCCGCGUCCGAUUAGCUAGUUGGUGGGUAAUGGCCCACCAAGGCGACGAUCGGUAGCUGGUCUGAGAGGAUGAUCAGCCACACUGGGACUGAGACACGGCCCAGACUCCUACGGGAGGCAGCAGUGGGGAAUAUUGGACAAUGGGCGAAAGCCUGAUCCAGCAAUGCCGCGUGAGUGAUGAAGGCCUUAGGGUUGUAAAGCUCUUUUACCCGGGAUGAUAAUGACAGUACCGGAGAAUAAGCUCCGGCUAACUCCGUGCCAGCAGCCGC
rnacentral:rRNA from 1 species